rnacentral:rRNA from 1 species
UACGGAGGGUGCGAGCGUUGUUCGGAAUUACUGGGCGUAAAGGGCGCGUAGGCGGCCCGCUAAGUCGAACGUGAAAUCCCCGAGCUCAACUCGGGAACUGCGUCCGAUACUGGUGGGCUUGAAUCCGGGAGAGGGAUGCGGAAUUCCAGGUGUAGCGGUGAAAUGCGUAGAUAUCUGGAGGAACACCGGUGGCGAAGGCGGCAUCCUGGACCGGCAUUGACGCUGAGGCGCGAAAGCUAGGGGAGCAAACAGG